GCACGAGGAAUCGCCUGGGCAAUGCGUAACGUCCGUAAAUGUGUCCGGGGUUUCGAGGACCAUCUCUCGAGUGACCGAUAAGUACCGCGAGGGACCCCGCAAGGGGAGCAUGCCAUGGCUAGACCGGGUUAAACGUGGCCUGAAACCAUUAGCUUACAAGCAGUGGGAGUCCGAUUAAACGGAUGACCGCGUGCCUGUUGAAGAAUGAGCCGGCGACUUAUAGGCACUGGUAGGUUAAGACGAGAAUGGGAAACCGAGUCUGAAAAGGAUGGACUAAUGGGCGAUAAUCAGUGUAACCCUGGUCCAGGAUCUAACCAUGGCCAGGAUGAAGCUUGGGUAACACCCAGUCCCAAGUGGAGGUCCGUCCGGUAACGUAAUGAAAAAUCGGCGGAUGAGUUGUGGUUAGGGGUGAAAUGCCAAUCGAACCAGGAGCUAGCUGGUUCUCCGUACGUUGUGUUGAGGCGCAGCGGUAAUGAUUAUAGUCGGGGGGUAAAGCACUGUUUCGGUGCGGGCUGGGAGACCGGUACCAAAUCGAGACAAACUCAGAAUACCCGAUGGACACAUUGCCAGUGAGACGGUUCGUCAAGCCCGUACGAUCCGUAAGGGAAACAGCCCAGACCACCAGCUAAGGUCCCCAAAUCAUCGCUAAGUGAUAAAGGAGGUGAGAUUGCCUAGACAACUAGGAGGUUUGCCUAGAAGCAGCCACCCUUGAAAGAGUGCGUAAUAGCCCGUAGCCAAUGCUCUCUUCGCCGAAAAUGAACGGGGCUAAGCGAUGUACUGUGGGAUUAACUAAAGGGGAGCGUUCCGUAGCCCCACGAUCCGAUCGAUUAGGAAGAAGCAGUAGCGGCAAGCAGCUGUGGACGAGACGGAAGUGAGAAUGUCGGCUUGAGUAGCGCAAACAUUGGUGAGAAUCCAAUGCCCCCGUACGUACCGUACGUACCAAUGGGCGCCUAAGGGUUCCGUUCGUCCACUCCGGGACCCGAGGCCGAUCCCGUUACCCCGAAAGGCGUAGUCGAUGGACACAGGGAAUCCCUGACUAUGGUAUGGGAGGGACGCAUGAAACCAUGAGAUAUUGGUUUGGGAGGCCCAGUAAGUUUACGAACUCCGAGUAGUGAAGGAUGUGUCAAGAAAGAUCGGAGCUAGUAGAACAUAUCUACCCGAAACCGACACAUUGCUAGCAGGUAGGGAGGUGAGAAUACCAAGGGGCGCGAGAUAACUCUCUCUAAGGAACUCGGCAAAAUGGCCCCGUAACUUCGGAAGAAGCCGAUACGGGUGCCCACCGAUGAGGCAGUGAAGAGAUCCAGGCGACUGUUUACCAAAAACACAGGUCUCCGCAAACUCGUAAGAGGAAGUAUGGGGGCUGACGCCUGCCCAGUGCCGGAAGGUUAAGGAAGUUGGUCAGGGCGACCGAUUAAAGUGAAAGUUUGAAGCUGACGACCGAAGCCCCGGUAACUAUAACGGUCCUAAGGUAGCGAAAUUCCUUGUCGGGUAAGUUCCGACCCGCACGAAAGGCGUAACGAUCUGGAUGGUGUCUCAGAGAGAGACUCGGCGAAACCAGGGUCGUGGGGUAGUGUGAAGAUGCCUGCACCUGGACAGAAAGACCCUAUGAAGCUUUACUGUAGCCUGGAAUUGGGCUUCGCUCCGAUGACUGCCAUGUGCGCAGGAUAGGUGGGAAGAUUCCUUGAUGGAGCGGUACGUACGUGCUAACGGUGAGAUCUCUGGCGAAGCUAGGAUUCUAACUUAUUUCCGUAUCCGGAAAAAGGACAGUUUCAGGUGGGCAGUUUGACUGGGGCGGUCGCCUCCUAAAAGGUAACGGAGGCGCGCAAAGGUUCCCUCACCGAUGCAUUGACUUUGCCGAAACCGUGCGGCGCAUAAAGGGAGCUUGACUGCAAGACCGACAAGUCGAGCAGGUACGAAAGUAGGCCUUAGUGAUCCGACGGCGCAGAAUGGAAUGGCCGUCGCUCAACGGAUAAAACCGAUGCAGUGUUAGCCCAAAAUUGGUUACUCUCAGGCUGAUCUCCCACAUCGACUUUGGCACCUCGAUGUCACCUGGGGCGGAAGUACGUAACGGGUAACAAAGUCAUCGGCUGUUCGCCCCCAAUUAAAGCGGUGCUGGGUUCAGAACGAGUUCCGUGGCAUUGCCAGUGGUCGGUGCAGGCGUAAGGGGAGGGAGCAUUGAGAGGAGCCUUCCUGAUUGACCAACCUUAGGACCGGGAAGGACGCUGGUGUACCAGUUAUUGUACCCGCAGUAGCCGUGGCAGUAGAACCCACGCAAGUGCGGAGCGGAUAACCGCUCUAAGUGGGAAGCCCACCCCCAAAUGGACGUACGUCAAGA
rnacentral:rRNA from 1 species